rnacentral:rRNA from 1 species
UACGUAGGGUGCAAGCGUUGUCCGGAAUUAUUGGGCGUAAAGAGCUCGUAGGCGGUUUGUCGCGUCGGCUGUGAAAACCUGGGGCUCAACCCCGGGCCUGCAGCCGAUACGGGCAAACUAGAAUUCGGUAGGGGAGACUGGAAUUCCUGGUGUAGCGGUGAAAUGCGCAGAUAUCAGGAGGAACACCGGUGGCGAAGGCGGGUCUCUGGGCCGAAACUGACGCUGAGGAGCGAAAGCGUGGGGAGCGAACAGG